AAUUUUUUCAUGGUAUUAUCACUUAGACGAAAAACCAUGAAGCAGAUUCGUCAAAAAUGUCUUGAUGGAUUUAAACGUUCGUCAUUCAGCAUUUCCAGACCAUGCAGCACAGGCAGAAGAACACCGCGAGAAUGGCGAAGCCUGUGAUGAGGCCGAUCUUGGCCGGGGUCCACCAGCACGGAGCGAAGAACUUGCAUCCCGGGGCCGGGGAGGAAGUCUUAGAGCAAAGAAGAAAUAAUAUUUAUCAGGAGCCCGUCUUUGUAAAACAUCUUACGACAAAUUUAAGAUACGAGUACUAUGGAUCCUGUUGCACGUUUGAAUACCAAUACCGUCUGGUUCGCCAUUAUCCCAAACGGCCCAUGUUACAGGGAUAACGGUGUCACACAUUGGCCACACGCUCGUCCAAUUGGUCCCGUCGUACUCCCAGAAACUGCCAAUCCAGAAAUCAGAAGGCAGCACAAACCCGAAACCACUGAAAUCGAGACAACUGACUUUAUGCAUCACAAACUAUUUGGUUUCAAACGUGUACUGUUGAUAAUUUAAUGAAUCACUGUUUGUGAGUCAACCACAGCCAAGUCGUGGUACCCUGCCUCCAUGCACUGCUGUUGUGCCUGAGUGUAGUUUAGCCUGGAACCGGCAGCUAAUGUGAGGUGCAUAAACUCACCACCAAGAACUGGAACACACGCGAUAAAAGCAGAUAAACUUCUAAUGUGCAUUGAGUUUAAAUAAGGCGACGCCACAUAGUUUUGAAAAUCACCUGUUUUUUUAUUGACAAAUCUCUUUGUUUAA